AGAGUUUGAUCCUGGCUCAGGAUGAACGCUGGCGGCGUGCCUAACACAUGCAAGUCGAACGAAGCAGCAGAGACGGAGAUUCGUCAAAGCCUCUGUUGACUUAGUGGCGGACGGGUGAGUAAUGCGUGAGCAACCUGCCUUUCAGAGGGGGACAACAGUUGGAAACGACUGCUAAUACCGCAUAACAUAUUUUGGGGGCAUCCCCGGGAUAUCAAAGGAGCAAUCCGCUGAAAGAUGGGCUCACGUCUGAUUAGCUGGUUGGUGGGGUAACGGCUCACCAAGGCUGCGAUCAGUAGCCGGACUGAGAGGUUGAACGGCCACAUUGGGACUGAGAUACGGCCCAGACUCCUACGGGAGGCAGCAGUGGGGAAUAUUGGGCAAUGGGCGAAAGCCUGACCCAGCAACGCCGCGUGAAGGAAGAAGGUCUUCGGAUUGUAAACUUCUU
rnacentral:rRNA from 1 species